CCUACGGGAGGCAGCAGUGAGGAAUUUUCCGCAAUGGGCGAAAGCCUGACGGAGCAAUACCGCGUGAGGGAUGAAGGAUUUUGGUCUGUAAACCUCUUUUCUCAAGAAAGAAGUUCUGACGGUACUUGAGGAAUAAGCAUCGGCUAACUCCGUGCCAGCAGCCGCGGUAAUACGGGGGAUGCAAGCGUUAUCCGGAAUGAUUGGGCGUAAAGCGCCUGUAGGUUGUUUAUUAAGUCCGUUGUUAAAGCCUAGGGCUUAACCCUAGAAAAGCAAUGGAAACUAGUAGACUAGAGUAUGGCAGGGGUAGAGGGAAUUUCUAGUGUAGCGGUGAAAUGCGUAGAUAUUAGAAAGAACACCGGUGGCGAAAGCGCUCUACUGGACCAUUACUGACACUCAGAGGCGAAAGCUAGGGUAGCAAAAGGGAUUAGAUACCCCUGUAGUCCUAGCCGUAAACGAUGGAUACUAGAUGUUGUGCAUUAUGUACAGUAUCGCAGCUAACGCGUUAAGUAUCCCGCCUGGGGAGUACGCUCGCAAGGGUGAAACUUAGAAGUAUAGCGNNGAGNGCGACGAGCACAGGAGGUAG
rnacentral:rRNA from 1 species